CCUACGGGGGGCAGCAGUGGGGAAUUUUGGACAAUGGGCGCAAGCCUGAUCCAGCAAUGCCGCGUGAGUGAAGAAGGCCUUCGGGUUGUAAAGCUCUUUCAGUUGAGAAGAAAAAGUCGUGACUAAUAAUCAUGAUUCAUGACGGUAUCAACAGAAGAAGCACCGGCUAACUACGUGCCAGCAGCCGCGGUAAUACGUAGGGUGCAAGCGUUAAUCGGAAUUACUGGGCGUAAAGGGUGCGCAGGCGGUUCUGUAAGUCAGAUGUGAAAUCCCCGGGCUUAACCUGGGAACUGCGUUUGAAACUGCAGAGCUAGAGUGCAGCAGAGGGAGGUGGAAUUCCAUGUGUAGCAGUGAAAUGCGUAGAGAUAUGGAAGAACAUCGAUGGCGAAGGCAACCUCCUGGGCUAGCACUGACGCUCAUGCACGAAAGCGUGGGGAGCAAACAGGCUUAGAUACCCUAGUAGUC
rnacentral:rRNA from 1 species